CCGCAAGGAACGGCCUAGGGCAACACCGGUGACUGGGGCUAAGUCGUAACAAGAUAGCCGUACCGGAAGGUGUGGCUGGAACACCUCCUUU
rnacentral:rRNA from 1 species